rnacentral:rRNA from 1 species
AACGCGAAGAACCUUACCUGGCCUUGACAUCCACGGAAUUCGGCAGAGAUGCCCUAGUGCCUUCGGGAACCGUGAGACAGGUGCUGCAUGGCUGUCGUCAGCUCGUGUUGUGAAAUGUUGGGUUAAGUCCCGCAACGAGCGCAACCCUUAUCCUUUGUUGCCAGCGAUUCGGUCGGGAACUCAAAGGAGACUGCCGGUGAUAAACUGGAGGAAGGUGGGGAUGACGUCAAGUCAUCAUGGCCCUUACGACCAGGGCUACACACGUGCUACAAUGGCGCAUACAAAGAGAAGCAAACUCGCGAGAGCCAGCGGACCUCAUAAAGUGCGUCGUAGUCCGGAUCGGAGUCUGCAACUCGACUCCGUGAAGUCGGAAUCGCUAGUAAUCGUGGAUCAGAAUGCCACGGUGAAUACGUUCCCGGGCCUUGUACACACCG